UCCCUGGGGGCUCAGACAGUAAAGCAUCUGCCUACAAUGCAGGAGACCCGGGUUCCAUCCCUGGGUAGGGAA
rnacentral:tRNA from 1 species